UUCACAAUUUGAGUUGAAUUACUGAAAUAAAUGAACUUUUCCACAACAUUCUAAUUUAUUGAGAUGCACCUGUGUGUGUGUGUGUGUGUGUGUGUGUGUAUAUAUUACAAGUGGGCAUUGAGCAAAUUUGAUCAUAAUAAAAAUUGACUAUAUGACCCCUUUAAUGUUGCGUUACCUUGUUCAAUGUGUUUGAGACCCUCCAUUAUUUUUAGGUGUAACUAAAAUGUUUUGGUGUUGUGAAAGAUUCCAGAUUGCUGGAGGAAAAGAGAUGAGCAGCCCACCAGUACAGAUUUUCUGAAAGUACUCACAAAGAAACAUGUGUUGAACUGCUCUGUUGCAGUGUUUGCAGUGUUCAAAUGUGAUCUGAAUCUCAUGAAAAAUAAAUGGAAGUUCUACAACAUCUCUAGCAAUGUGACCUCUGGGUGGAUUGAGCAGAUUGGGUUUAGAUUGGCUUCUUUUCAGCUGAUCAGUACAGCAUCUCUAGAUUUUGAUGAGAUCAAAUAUAUUUACUUCUCUGACUCCCUCAGCCCUGCACAAGUUUGCAAGUAACACAUAUGCAUUCACUGAAGCCUAUCAUUUUCUAAUUGUUACAUGUACAACCUGAGAUAAGUGCAUACGUUUUAUAAUAUUUUAAAUGGUAUACUUCAUUCUAUGCUUUAAACAUGAUGAAAUGUUUAGACUUUACCUUUUGGUUUCAAAGGUAAAUAUUCAGGUGGAGGUCUAUGAGGAACCCAGUCUCAUCAAGGAGGUCACUGGAGGUGUUAUUGGAGGACUGUUGCUCUUCUGUCUCAUUACAGCUGUCCUCGUUAAGGUACAAUACACCAGCCUUUUCAUAAUUCUUAAAUACACUAAAUUGCCAAAAGUUUGUGGAUACCUGAACACCAACAUUCAUGUGAUUUGUUGAACCAUUAUUUUCAAAACCAUAGGGACUAAUCCCACACUUUAUUGCUAUAACAACUUCCACUCUUCUGGAAAGGCUUUCCACUUGAUGUUGAAAUAGAGCUGCAGGGAUUUGCUCCCAUUAAGACACAAGAACAUCAGUGCACUAAUGUUGGGUGAUUGGGCCUGGCUUGCAGUCAGCGUCCAAUUCAUCCCAAAGGUUUUCAGUGGGGUUCAGGUCUGUGCAGGCCAGUCAAGUUCUUCCAAACCAGACUCAGUACAUAAUAUGCACCUUGCUUCGUGCUCAGGGGCAUUGUCAUGCUGUAACAGGAAAGGCCCCCUCCCCAAACUACAAAGUUGGAAGCACACAAUUCUUUAGAAUGCCACUGUUCACUGCAGCAUAAAGAUGUGUAUUCACUGAAAUUAACAGAAUAGCCAAACAUGUUAAUUAAAAGGGGGUGUCCACAAACUUUUUGCCAUAUAGUGAAGUAACAACACAAUGUAUAAUAAAUUCAUAAUGUCUCUGUCACAGUCUGUCUCCCUCACGUUUUCCAAGGACUCUUAUUUUGAAGUUUUCCCCAGACUACAUUUCCCACGGUACACUGCCCUCAUCAGCCAUCUGUUCCCCAUCAUCCUCACCUGUCUUCCAUUCAAUCAUUAGUUCUGUUUGUGUAUAAAUACCCUCCUGUUUUGUUCACUGAUUUUCAGUUCUCGUCCAUGUAAUCCUGAUGUUAGUGUGUUUGGUUCUUUGUUUACUCCACGGUGUUUGUUAACUUCAUCAUCCUCACCUUCAUUAAAAGCCUGUAUAUUGAUCCAUCACCUCUCGCCUCAUCUCAACUACACACCAUACUUGCGUGACAGAAGAACUGACUGACAAAGAUGGAUCUACCGGCUGUUAGAAUCCUCCUCCUUGAGCAAGGGUACCGUCCGGUUGAGGAUCACGUGCGUUUGUUUCUCUUGCUUGCAAAUUUGGUGCACUAUGGAGACCACUCUCCCUUCAUUCCCUCUGUCCCACCUCGGCUCUAUGUCCCUUUUGGCUCCACCAUGGUCCUUCAGUCAAUUGGCUUCUCCGGGGUCCCUCCAGCUCCCCCUUGGUCAGUCGGUCACCUACGCGUUGUCACUCUGAGCCUCCGGUUUCACCGGGGACCUCCUUCCCUUCGGCACCGCCUCGGUCCUCCGAUCCUUCGGCUACUCUCCGGGCACAAAGUUCCCUGGCUACGCCCCUCGAGCCUCUCACGACUCUGCCUUCCCUGGCUGCUCCUCCCUUGGCUCCACCCCUUGAGCCUUCCACGGCUCUGCCUCCUGUCCCUGCUCUGUGGCUGCCUCCCAGGCCUCUGGAUCCCACCCCAGCCUGAGGCCGCCUCCCAGGCCUAUGGAUCCCGGCCCUGAGGCCGCCUCCCAAUCCCAGCCCUGAGGCUGACACCCAGAUCUCCUGACUCUACUCCUGGAUCCUCCCCAGUCACCUGUUUCCUCCUGCCCUUCUCCAUCUUUAUGUGCCAGGAGCCGCGUAGUAGUAGUAGUAGUAGUAGUAGUAGUAGUAGUAGUAGUAGUAGUAGUAGUAGUAGUAGUAGUAGUAGUAGUAGUAGUAGUAGUAGUAGUAGUAGUAGUAGUAGUAGUAGUAGUAGGUCUGUUUCCCUCAUAUUUUCCAAGGACUCUUAUUUUGUUUUCCCCCGGACUACAUUUCCCAUGGUACACUGCCCUCAUCAGCCAUCUGUUCCCUAUCAUCCUCACCUGUCUUCCAUUCCAUCAUUAGUUCCGUUUGUGUAUAAAUACCCUCCUGUUUCAUUGAUUUUUCAGUUCUCGUCCGUGUAACCCUGAUGUUGGUGUGUUUGGUUCUUUUGUUUACUCCAUGGUGUUUAUCUUCACCUUCAUUAAAAGCCUGUAUAUUGAUCCAUCGCCUCAUCUCAACUACACACCAUACUUGCAUGAGAGUCUCUUUGUUUCUAUUAUUGGCUGUUUUUUUUUUCAAAAGAAAUCCAUACAACUGAUGAAAAGUACAAUACAAGAAGCUGAGUUUUACAAUCUAAAUGAAAAUUAAUGUUAAACUGAUGAAUUCUUCUACUGUAGUUCUAGCAUAGAACUUGUGAAUAUGUAUAUUAGGACUGUCAAUAAAUGAAAAUAAUUGUAGAAAAUCUAGACCAGGAUUUCUGUGUUUCUUUUCUGUUCUUAUGAUUGAUUUGUUAAUAGUUUUAAACUUAUUUGCCUGUCUACAUUUUACUCAAUCUCAUCAUUGAUUGGUCCAACCCUCAACACAAUUUUCAACCAACCACCCACAAAUAAAGAAUGAUUGUGAUUUUCAGUUCCUGUGUUUUAAUGGACACACCCAAUCCCCUACAUGUGAACUCCUAACCCGAGCCCUUAAUCAAAUUAAUUGGACAUAUCAAUAUUUGCUGAGAAAAGCCCAUAAAUGAGAAUAAUUAAAAGAUAUUACAUUAUUGUGUCAGACAAAAGCAAGCUCUGCAAAGCCAUGCAUUGUGUGAGGAACUGAAUGAAAUUUAUGUUGAUAGUCACUCAAAAUCAUUCCCUCUGCUCCGUUGUCAAAUCUAGUUCACACAUAUCUAUUUUCAGAUCUGCUGCGUCAAGAAACAUCACGCAAGGUUUGACAAAUUACACCGUUGGUUACCAUAUGUUUGUAACCAAAUGCAAUGUGCAAAGUUUGAAUAUUAGACUGCUCCUUUAGAGCUGUUCCUUUACAGUUGUGUAAUAAAGAAAAGUGUAAUAAUUGUAUGUUGACCUUUCUGUUGAUUUAAAUGUCCUGUUAGAAAAAAAAAAAGUGAAGUGAAUAAUAGUAAUGUCGCUAUCACUCUACGCAAGAGAACACUUUAUAGAAACAUCCUUACUUGGCUUUAGUCACAGUAUCCAUAAUCACUAUCUAUUUCCUAUAUGUCUAGCACUAAUGAAUGUCAUUGCAUUAUGCACAGUUCUGUUUGUAUCUGUCAUACUUGGAUAAAGAAACUCUUUCUACCACAGUUACUAGAACAACAGUAUGGGGGUUUUAUAUACUGUAGAUUUAAACAGUCCAAUGCCUCAUUACUUUUCCAAGUGCUUUUCAUUAACAAACAGAUGUUGAAAUACAAUAACUGUA